UACGUAGGGUGCGAGCGUUAAUCGGAAUUAUUGGGCGUAAAGGGCGCGUAGGCGGUGCGGUAAGUCUGUAGUGAAAUCUCUGGGCUCAACUCAGAGUCUGCUGCAGAAACUGCCGUGCUUGAGUGUGGGAGAGGUGAGUGGAAUUCCCGGUGUAGCGGUGAAAUGCGUAGAGAUCGGAAAGAACACCAACGGCGAAAGCACUCUGCUGGGCCGACACUGACACUGAGAGACGAAAGCUAGGGGAGCGAAUGGG
rnacentral:rRNA from 1 species